rnacentral:rRNA from 1 species
UACAGAGGUCUCAAGCGUUGUUCGGAUUCAUUGGGCGUAAAGGGUGCGUAGGCGGCGCGGUAAGUCGGGUGUGAAAUUUCGAGGCUUAACUUCGAAACUGCAUUCGAUACUGCCGUGCUUGAGGACUGGAGAGGAGACUGGAAUUUACGGUGUAGCGGUGAAAUGCGUAGAUAUCGUAAGGAAGACCAGUGGCGAAGGCGGGUCUCUGGACAGUUCCUGACGCUGAGGCACGAAGGUCAGGAGAGCAAACGGG